AGUGAACGCUGGCGGUAGGCCUAACACAUGCCAGUCGAACGGCAGCACAGUAAGAGCUUGCUCUUACGGGUGGCGAGUGGCGGACGGGUGAGGAAUACAUCGGAAUCUACUUUUUCGUGGGGGAUAACGUAGGGAAACUUACGCUAAUACCGCAUACGACCUACGGGUAAAAGCAGGGGAUCUUCGGACCUUGCGCGAUUGAAUGAGCCGAUGUCGGAUUAGCUAGUUGGCGGGGUAAAGGCCCACCAAGGCGACGAUCCGUAGCUGGUCUGAGAGGAUGAUCAGCCACACUGGAACUGAGACACGGUCCAGACUCCUACGGGAGGCAGCAGUGGGGAAUAUUGGACAAUGGGCGCAAGCCUGAUCCAGCCAUACCGCGUGGGUGAAGAAGGCCUUCGGGUUGUAAAGCCCUUUUGUUGGGAAAGAAAGGCAGCAGGUUAAUACCCCGCUGUUCUGACGGUACCCAAAGAAUAAGCACCGGCUAACUUCGUG
rnacentral:rRNA from 1 species